UACCAAAAGGGCUCCACCAACAAGGUUGCAGACACACUUUCUCGGGCACCCCAGGAUAGUAGUUGGAAGGAGGAGACGCAACCAGGGGAUUGCAAGAGACAAGCUUCCCGCGCGGCCGCUCCUAAGCGAGACAGCGGGGAGGGAUCGAUGCAACAGGAGCUCGUCGCAGUUUUAGGAAGCCGCACGAGGGAACAAAGGAUCGUGGCUUGGGGUGAAGUGGUGAGCAAGGAAGAGCAUGUCGAGGCCCAAAAGGAAGAUGGUUUUUGUCAGCAAGUGUUGGGGACAAUUGCGGAAAUGGCAAGCAACACCGCUGCCGGCAGAUGCACGCAAACAAGGGGGUGCUAAGCUGCAGCGAGUAGGAGGGCCGCUGCGGUGAGCGUUGAAGGUGUCGGGCGUAAGCCCGCCUGGAGCCGCCGCUGGUGCAGAUCUUGGUGGUAGUAGCAAAUACUCAAGUGAGAACCUUGAGGACUGAAGUGGAGAAAGGUUCCAUGUGAACAGCAGUUGAACAUGGGUCAGUCGGUCCUAAGGGAAAGGAGAAGUUCUUUCCGAAGCGGGAGCACUUUUUUGCAGUGGAGAGAGCCCCGCAGUGACCGAAAGGGAAUCGGGUUAAUAAUCCCGAACCCGGACACGGAGAUUGGUCCUUCGGGGCCCAGUGCGGUAACGCAAACCAGCUCGGAGACGCCGAUGCGAGCCCCGGGAAGAGUUUUCUUUUCUCUGUAAGGAGAUCGAGUCCCUGGAAUGGGUUCGCCCCGAGAUAGGGAUGGUGGCUCCGUAGAGCAGUGCGGUUCUUGCGCUGUCCGGUGCGCUCGCGUCGGCCCUUGAAAAUCCGAGUGAGGGAGUGUGAUUUUCGUGCCGGACCGUACCCACAUCCGCAGCAGGUCUCCAAGGUGAACAGCCUCUAGUCGAUGGACCAAUGUAGGUAAGGGAAGUCGG
rnacentral:ncRNA from 1 species